UACGUAGGGUGCAAGCGUUUAUCCGGAAUUAUUGGGCGUAAAGAGCUCGUAGGCGGCCUGUCGCGUCGGCUGUGAAAACCCGGGGCUCAACCCCGGGCCUGCAGUCGAUACGGGCAGGCUAGAGUCCGGCAGGGGAGACGUGGAAUUCCUGGUGUAGCGGUGAAAUGCGCAGAUAUCAGGAGGAACACCGGUGGCGAAGGCGGGUCUCUGGGCCGGCACUGACGCUGAGACGCGAAAGCGUGGGGAGCAAACAGG
rnacentral:rRNA from 1 species